CCGGAACAGGCUCCUGGCCCUGGGACUCCGCGUCACGCACGCCCGGGCCAAGCAGGUGAAUCCUGGCAGGAGCCGCUGCCCUCAAGAAGGCUGAGGGCCUGGCAGCCAGGGCGAGGAGCCCAGCAGGUGGAUUCGGAACUCAGUGUGGGGCCGGAGCGCCCUCAGUGUGGGCCGGGGCGGGGGGAAACGCGGGAGAGCACGGGGUCUCUGGGCCAGCGCGUCCCCAGUGCCAACGCCCACGGGCCAGGUGGCCUCCGCGGCAUCUGCUCCACACCCCACGCGGAGCAGGGGCUUGUAGUUUGUGCACACGCCCCACUGCAUGCACACCGCACCACACACUCCACACUGUACACACCACACACACCACACUAUACACACCCACUGUACACACCACACAAACAGCACACACAAACACACCACACACCACAGCCCACACACACCACAGCCCACACACCCUACAAACACACCGCACACAAACACACCACACUAUACACACCACACACACCACACUAUACACACACACCACACCACACUGUACGCACCACACCACACAAACACACCACACACACCACACACCCCACACACACCACAGCACACACACCACACCACACUGUACACACCACACACACAAACAGCAGCACACACACAAACACACCACACACCACAGCCCACACACACCACACAGCCCACACACCCUACAAACACACGGCACACAUACCACACACAAACACACCACACUAUACACACCACACACACCACACUAUACACACCACACCACACUGUACGCACCACACCAAACACACCACGCACACACCACACACACCCCCACACACACCACAGCACACACACCCUACAAACACACCGCACACAUCACACCACACACACCACACUAUACACACCACACACACCACACUAUACACACCACACCACACUGUACACACCAAACACACAAACAGCACACACACACUCCACACACACACCACAGCACACACACACCACACACAGCCCACACACCCUACAAACACACCGCACACACCACACUACACACACACUAUACACACCACACACACCACACUAUACACACCACACCACACUGUACACACCACACACACAAACAUCGCACAGCACACCACACACACCACACUACACACAAACGGCACACUCACCCCACACACACACCACACACAGCCCACACACCCUACAAACACACCACACACACCACGCACACAAACACCACACACACAACACACGCUAUACCAAAUACACCACGACGCACUGAACACACCACACGCACACACACCACACAAACACACCACAUGCACCGAACACACCACAUGCACACAAACACACAAACACAAACACACCACACUCACACACACACCCACACUACACACACCAACUACACCACACACACCACACACACAUACCCCACACCACCCCCACGCACGCCACACUACACACCCCACACACACCACACUACACACAAACACACCACACACACCUCACACACCACACACACACCACGCACAUACCCCACACCACCCCACGCACGCCACACCACACACCCCACACACACUACAUUACAAACACACACCACACACACACCCCACACACACACCCACACGCACACCACCCCCACACACACCCCACACUACACACCACACCACACCCCAGCCCCACCGUCCCACCCUGCGCCCUCCCGGCCUCCGGUGUGUGGUGUGUGCUCUAGUUCCCCACAAAGCCAGGUGGCAGACGGAGGGGCCGGCAGGACAGGCCGCCUGCGGAACCGGGAACGCCGAAGUGGACGCAGGAGGAGCGGGCGGGGAGGGCCCAGGCCCCGUGGGCGGCGGGAAAGGAGAGGGCAGGGACGGCGAGGGGGCAGCCCGGUGCGGGAGGCUGCGCGUGCCCGGGGAGAAGGCGGCCCGGCUGGGAGCUGAGGCGGAACCGAGGGCGCCCGCGUGGAGGCCGCAGCCCCUGCGCGGCCGGGCGGGUCCAGAAGGAGCCCAGGGCGCACCCCCAGGCCGGCCCCGCCGCGGCCCAGCGCCCGCCCGCGCCCCCAGCGCCGCUCCACUUGCACCUUCUCCCGGGGCGCCGGCGGCCUCGGCUGCCCCGCGGCGUUUCCCCAGCUUCCCUCCGAGGCCCCCGCCGCCCUUUCUCAGCAUCCCUCGCAGCUUCCUCUCCAUCCGCGCGGCCUUGCCAGGACCCUCCAAGCCGUUCUCCUCCAGGCUGGCUCCCAGGACGCCGUCCAGGCCCGGGACUCACAUUCCCAGUCCUCAUGCAGAGCCCGGUCCCCGCACCGAGGCGGCAGAGCCGGGAGCGCGAUGCAGUUCUCCGCGAGAGCCUAGGUCUGACUCUAACUCUGCCCUGGAUCUUCCGCUUUCUAGGAGCGCGUGGCAUCGGCGGUCAGUUCCGUCAUCUGGGCUCUCCCACCCGUACCACCCGCCCCUGGGAACGGAUGCGACAAUGGACCCGAAGGCACCCUGCAAACUGUAA
rnacentral:lncRNA from 1 species